rnacentral:rRNA from 1 species
AUUGAACGCUGGCGGCAGGCCUAACACAUGCAAGUCGAGCGAGCGGCGGACGGGUGAGUAAUGUCUGGGAAUCUGCCUGAUAGAGGGGGAUAACUACUGGAAACGGUAGCUAAUACCGCAUACUGUCAGAUGUGCCCAUAUGGGAUUAGCUAGUCGGUGAGGUAACGGCUUACCUAGGCGACGAUCCCUAGCUGGUCUGAGAGGAUGACCAGCCACACUGGGACUGAGACACGGUCCAGACUCCGACGGGAGGCAGCAGUGGGGAAUAUUGCACAAUGGGCGCAAGCCUGAUGCAGCCAUGCCGCGUGUGUGAAGAAGGCCUUAGGGUUGUAAAGCACUUUCAGUGGGGAGGCGUUACCCACAGAAGAAGCACCGGCUAACUCCGUGCCAGCCGCCGCGGUAAUAC